GUCUAGCUGCAGAGGCCAGAGGAAGUCAUUGCUGUCCUGUCCCUCCCGAAGGUUUUCUGGACCAGUCUCCCAGUGAGGUGCCUGGUCUGAGAGGGCCUUGACCAUGCCCCUUGGGAAUCUUUCAGAUCCCCGGUCUUGGAUGUGCUGACUGACACACCCAGACCUAUGGGGCUUCAGCCUUACGUAGACUCACUCUGUUCCAGUGAAGCUGGACCCACUCUGACUUGCAGGGCAACAUCAGCUCUAGCCACUGCAUCCUGACCUGGAGCAUCGGUCCUGCCUUGGAGUCGAGGACCACACUUCUCAGCUAUGACCUAUGGCCUUCGAGAGGCAGGAAGAGGCCUGGGAGGGUGAAGAGAAUCUUCUACCAGAACGUGCCCUCUCCAGCGAUGUUCUUCCAGCCCCUCUACAGUGUACACAAUGGGAACUUCCAGCAGGUAGAGCAGAGCCGGAGCCAGGUGCAGGCCAUUGGAGAGAAGGUCUCCUUGGCCCAGGCCAAGAUUGAGAAGAUCAAGGGCAGCAAGAAGGCCAUCAAGGUGUUCUCCAGUGCCAAGUACCCUGCUCCAGAGCGCCUGCAGGAAUAUGGCUCCAUCUUCACCGACGCCCAGGACCCUGGCCUGCAGAGACGCCCCCGCCACAGGAUCCAGAGCAAGCAGCGCCCCCUGGACGAGCGGGCCCUGCAAGUCUGCUGGCUGCGCACAUAACUUAGCCUGUCACACACCAGGAGGACUGGAUACUGGGGAGGAGCCGGGGCCACCAAGGGUUCUGUCCCC
rnacentral:lncRNA from 1 species